CCAUGAAUUGGACUGAUGAGCAUCGCGCUUUCAUCGUGGAAAUGUUUAUCAAAACAAACAAAUGUGUAACUACAACAUUUUGAUGGCACUU